UCCCCUUCCCUCCGCUCCUUUCCUCCAGGCCGAGCCCCUUUCCCAGCUCCCUCAGCCCCUCCUGGCGCUCCGGGGCACGGGGAAGAAGCUUUUUUGCUCCAGCAGAGAUUUUCCUUCUCCCUCUGGGCUGUUGUGGCCUGGGGUCCGUCAGGGGUGGAUCCAGGACAAGCCCCAGGCUGUGCUGGCACGCCCGGCCUUGGUUUGGCGUUUAACCCAAACUCCUGAGGCGCUGGGAUGGCACCACCGGGAUUUUGGGUCCACGGGAGCUUCGGAACCAUCGACUCACCCCUGUUUUAAGGCGAAUCUCCGCAGCUCCAGGGCUGUGCCAGCGUUUGGGAGAACGAGAGUAGCCCGGGCUCGGUGCUGGACCCUGCUGCUUGACAAGGCGAAGUUUGGUCAAAGGCUGCACUCGAUGAUCUCCGAGGUUUUUCCGAUCCCAGCGAUCCCGGGAUUCCUCAGGGCUCUCUGCCAUCCUGCUCCUGUCCAGCGAGGCCAAAUUCUCACCGUGACACAACAGCAGCCUAAGCAGGGUACCGCAGCUGUCACAGCUCGGCCUUCCCGGGGCAAUUAAGGACAAAACCCCGGUGCAGCUUCCCACCAGGAUAAUUUGACAGCUCGUUCACAGGCCAGGAGUGCGGCUGAGCCCAAACUUUCCGGCCAUUGCUUUUGCGUUGGGCAGGAGCAACGAUGAAUUUUGCUUUUCUCUUUUUAUGUUCCUUCCCCUGCGUGUGCAAACCUGCAAAAAUGCUCCUCUCCCUCUCCCUCUUCCUCUCCCUCUCCCCUCUUUUCCACCACAGUUUUCCAGCUCCAAAGGAGAGGAAUCAGCAGGGAAGGGAUGGUUAAAUCCUUGUGUUUUCCUGUUUAGAUCCGGGGAUAUUCAGCUCUCCUCAGGACAGGAAUCUGAGGAAAGGGUGAUUAAAUCCCUUUAAAACCCUCGUGUUUAGCUGUUUCUGUCUGUAGCCAAGGAAAUGUUUUUCCUCUUUCCCAGAAGGAAGUUUUCCCUUGAGGAAGUGGGAGGGGAUGGCACCGAGGGAGCUCCUGGUUGUUUUUCACAAGGUUCUGCUGCAAAAUUGAACCUGAUCAGGAGAAAUUCUCACCAAGCUCCCAGAACUGCUCUGUCUGAUGAAAUCUCCCAUCAGAGCUCUUGGACUCCCCUCUGCUGAGUUUAUUUCACACUGUCCUUGCACACAGAUGUUUAUUCCAACUCUUCACAUGAUGCAAACCCCCUCCCAUUCCUGCUUUUUCUGCCAAAUACCUUCCAAACUUCCUGGCUCCUUGCUCAGCCCUGCUGUAAAUCAGCACAGCCAAUAAAUUCAUAAUUGCUUGUGCACAACAA